AUCGCUUUCUCGGCCUUUUGGCUAAGAUCAAGUGUAGUAUGUUCUUAUCA
ensembl:snRNA U2 U2 spliceosomal RNA